AUGGAGCAUUUCAGGAGAGGAGUGGAGUUUGGGACGGCCCCCUUCCAGAGAUGCCACUCCUUGUCCUGUCAAAUGGCAGAGAACACACAGAUCGAUGCGCAGAAGGCGGGCAUCCGUCGCAAGGAAAAGUCGUCGAUGCGACGCCCGAAAGGCGAAGAGAUCCCCGUGAUCCCUGAGCAGGCGAUGGAGUUCCUCUCUCGGACAUGGAACCCCUCCUCCUCGGAUCUCUUCCAAAUACUCACCCCCAGUUGCCUAGGAGUAUCAGCACAAGACCAUCAUGAAGAAGGCGAGACGAAGGAAGACGAAGAGGGAGACAAAGAACUCGAUGCGGUUCGAAUCGAUGGCAGUAAAAGCCAAUUGUUCAAUCAGAUUCAGACGUGGAGAGUUCUGGCCAGUGGGAAGCCUGGCUCCAAGCAGCGCAAGACUAAGCUGAACCAGCCUAUAUGGCUCAACGUUGGACAGAUGAAGGCGCUCCUGCGCGGCUACUUCCUGGACAACGUCUCCAUCACGGGGAGCCGGAGGCGGCGUCGGCGGGACGAGGUCCGGCUGCACUCGGCGCAGGCCCACGCGGCCGUCUCGGUGGCCCAGCUCGCCGCGGCCAUCGCCGGCGUCGUGUCGGCGUGCGACCUGAGAGGGGACAAGAAGCUGGGCGCUGUGCUCGCGUCCGCCGCCGCGCUCGUGGCCACCGUCUGCGCGGAGGCCGCCGAGUCCGCCGGCGCCAACCGGCCCCGCGUGACCUCCGCCGUCAAGACCGGACUCGAGAGCCGCUCCCCCGCCGAGCUCCUCACGCUGACCGCCACCGCCGCGACGUGCCUCCGGGGCGCCGCCGCGUUGAAGCUCAGGGCCGCGGACGUCAGAGGGAUCAGCACCGGCGCCAACGCCAACGCCAACGCAAUGGCCAUGAGCAUCAGCGCCAGCAUCCAGAAAGGCAUCGCCCUCAGGGUCUGCCUACCCUGCGGGAAGGUACGGGUGAGGACGGUGUCCGUCUUCCCCCGGCGCGGCGGCGGCGCGGUGGCGCUGAGGCUGGGGACGAAGCGGCUGCGCGGCGCCUUCGCCACCUACGACGACCACGAGCUACUCGGGGUGUCGACGGGCGGCGGCGGCGAGGCGGUGGUCGACGGCCGGAGGUGCUUCGCGGUGGCGCUGAGCACGUCGGCGGGGACGGUGCAGCUGCUGCUGGAGGACCAGACGCACUGCAAGGUCUGGAAGGCCGCCAUCGAAGGCAUGCUGUCCGAUGCAAACCUCAAGCAUGCGAAGUGA
rnacentral:rRNA from 1 species